UUUUGUGGAAUACCUUCCACAUAGUAAGUAUUUACUGCAUAUUAGUUGAAAGAAAUUUAGCUGUUUUAAAGAAAUGAAAACGUUACUACUCAAGUUAUUAAAUCUAUUCAGCAGUGGACUUCCCAAUUUCAAUGAUGCAAACGUGCCUCCAUAAAUACAAUAAAUUAAGUGUCUUUCAUCUGAUGGACCUCCUUUUAGAACGCUGCAGUUAUGUUUCCUUACUUUUAGUGCUCAUAGCUGAGUGACAUAAUCUCAUCAAAAGAUCAAGCAAGUGAUAUGGCAGUCCCAACUUCUGCCACACUGAUUUGGAUUUCAUACCUUGUACAUAUUACCUUGACUGGAAAGGGAAUGAGGAGGUGAAGGAGCUAUUUUUAAAUUUUUCAAUGCAGAUUUACUCUUUCAUUUCUCCUAGGGAAUCUCCAAGAUUUUCCACUUUUCAGAGAUUGUUGAGGGCUGACAAACUCAGUGUUACAAUGUGCAUUUCACACGUCAACCCGAGGCUACUGCCUGAAGGUCUCUGACAGAAAUCAGUGUGCUCAAAAUGCCGCCAGGGCCCAAGCAGGAAAGGUACAUACCUCUAUGGAGCACCCAGAGCUGCCAGGAAGAAACGAGUUUGAGAGAAAAAUGCUAGCCACAAAGGUAUUUAGCUUCUAUUUAAAAGAUCCAUAUGAGUAAGACACAUUAAAAGGUCAUAAAAUAUAUACAAAGUUUUCAGUGUCCAAGUUUUUGAAAUGUCAUAUUUUUUGUGGCUUUUGACAAAGUCUAAUAUUAUUCUCUAAGAUAGUUUGAUGUUUCCAGAAAUGUCAUAACAGCAUAUUAUUUUUUCAAAUGACAGUCAUUUUGCAGAGGGCAAAUAGCUGGCUAUGUGAAAUUCCAAAGAAACAACUACACGUCUGUCCACAUGAAAAACAAGUUGCUGGAAUGUAUAAGUAUUUUGAUGGAUUUUAGAUUUAUCUCUCAUAUGCUAUCAAUUUUGAGAGUUUAAGGCCAAACUCUUUAUUGACACCAAUUGUUAUAAUAAUGGUAGAGUUGCAUGUAUGUGUGAGAAAGAUACACAAUAAUUAAAAUAAUUCUAUGACUCUAUACCUUGUCAUUCUUUUUAAAUUUUAGACAUGGUGUCCCUUUAUCGCUGAAGUUAGUGUACAGGGAUUAUAGCUCAUUGCCGCCUUUAGCGUCUGGGCUCAAGUGAUUAUCUUGCCUCAGUCUCCCAAGUUGCUGAGUACCUGAGACUAAAGUUUCAGUCUGAUUGGCUCCAAGCCCUAAAACCAACCUCAGGAAAAUCAGUCAUUAAGCUGAUGAAUAGAUCUUGGAAACAUGCACAUAAGAAAAGAUCUCUUUGGAAACCUUCAUGACUGGAUUAACUGGCAACCCACUCUUUACAGACUGAAAGGCCGAUAGAGUGAAUCACUAAAAGACCACUCACUCUUUCAGAGUCAUGUAAUGAAGUCAAGUUUCUCCAAAGUCAAGUUUUUCUUUGCAACCUCAAAAACAUGCCUCCAUCAGGAACACCACCUCUGCAGCAACUCUGAAUUCCUGAACUGUUCCACCUAGAAUAAAAUCAAAUGUUGCAUUCUCUAACCAUUACCUAAGGGAUUUAUGGGUCACUCAAUAGGACAUGUAAGAUCCAUUCUAGCUUUUCAAGCACCUUUUCAAGAAAUACUUUGAGGAAUUAAGGUCUUGUGAGAUGUUAUUAAAGCAAGUAAUACAGUCUGGCAUCCUUCUAGGUUUAUACUCACCUGUCCAUCAUAUGGAAGCUGGAGAGUUACUUCUUUUGAUAAUUCAAGAAUCUUGGGAUACUUCAGAGAGCAAUUCUCAAACAACUUCUUCAAACUGACAGCCUUCAAGGAAUUGUGCAGGAUAGAUGGGUGGCCAAAUGACAAGCUUGGAAAGCUACAGGGGAACGCUACCUGCUCCUCUCCAUCCAUUCCUGGCUCUCUACUCUUAACUCCAUAUCUUCCACCAAGGUUCACUUCACCACUGUGUCAUUAAAAUGUUCAGUACCAAGAAGCAGACUGUUCGCAAUGAUAGGUAUAAACUGUUCAAGAAGACACCCAAUACUAGCAAAUUUUUCUGACUCCUUUUAAAAUAAAAACUGGCCUUCUUACAGUAAUUUCAAACUUAUAAAAGGCACGGAUUAAUCCAAAAUGCCUAUAUAUAUUCAGGAUAGCUUUCCUAAGCUGAUUGGCCUUUGACUGUGAAAUUUUACUUAAAAAAAUCAAGUUAAUAAAUCAUAUGUAUAUGAACAAAGACAUUCACUGUCAACUGACCUGUGAAAACAUAAAUUAUAUUACCAGUUUGGGGAUUAUUAUUAUAAAAUAAAUCUUUAAUUUAUGUAGAGAAGAGUUACUAAUGAGUCAAAGCAAACUCUCUCCUUUAAUGAACAAUUCCUGAAAUGUUUCAUAAUGCAGGAAAAAUUCUACUCUGUCUACAACCCUUUUCCCUAUAGCCCUGUGGUUCUGUAUGAUAAUGAGGGAAAUUUAUUAUUGCUAUUUCUGAAAAUCCUAACUGCAAUAAAAUAUAAAAAAUCUUUAACAAUCA